UCCCUGGUGGCUCAGACAGUAAAGUAUCUGCCUGUUAUGCUGGAGACCCGGGUUCAAUUCCUGGGUUGGGAA
rnacentral:tRNA from 1 species